GUACCUCAUGUACACCCCAUCGUAUCACUCUCUCCAUCACACUCAAUUUCGGACUAAUUACUCAUUGUUCAUGCCAUUCUACGAUUACAUAUACCACACAAUGGAUAAGUCAACCGAUAUAUUAUACGAGAGCUCCUUGAAAGGAAAAGAUGAUAUACCACAAGUAGUUCACCUUACACAUCUUACUACCUUGCAAUCAAUUUAUCAUCUCCGCGUCGGAUUCGCCUCAUUUUCCUCGAAGCCUUAUAGCUCCAAUUGGUAUAUCAUGUUGAUGUGGCCGGUGACAUGGGCAACCAUGUUACUGACAUGGAUCUCUGGUUCAUCGUUCAUCAUUGAGAGGAAUAAUUUGAAGAAAAUUAAAAUGCAGACAUGGACCGUACCGAGAUUUAGUUUCCAAUAUCGCUUAACUUGGCAGAGAGAGGCAAUCAAUGACUUAAUCGAAAAGUCUAUUCUAGAAGCUGAAGAAAAAGGAGUUAAAGUUCUUAGUUUAGGGCUCCUUAAUCAGGCAAAAGAGCUUAAUGGUGGCGGUGAGCUUUAUAUUCAAAAGUAUCCAAAAUUGAAGGUAAAAAUCGUCGAUGGGAGUAGCUUAGUGACUGCUCUGGUUCUUAACAGUAUCCCUCAUGGAACAAAACAAGUUCUUCUUCGAGGAAAUCCUUCAAAAGUUGCUUGCGCACUAGCCCAAGCAUUAUGCAAAAGGGGUGUCGAGGUUACGAUGACAAGUAAGCACCAAUACAAUCUGCUUAAGCCACUACUUUCCAGAAGUAUAGAGAGUUAUUUGACACUUUCCAGCAAUUAUGGCCCUCGGGUAUGGUUGAUAGGUGAUGUAUUCGAUGAUGCAGAUCAAAAAAAGGCCUCCAAAGGUACACACUUCAUUCCUUUCUCGCAGUUUCCUCCGAAGAAGUUACGCAAAGAUUGUACUUACUACACAACCCCAGCAAUGAAAAUUCCUGUGGCAUUGGAAAAUAUGUAUUCCUGUGAGAACUGGCUACCAAGAAGGGUGAUGAGUGCAUGGCGCAUCGCAGGAAUAAUACAUGCUUUGGAGGGUUGGAGCACACAUGAGUGUGCAGAUAUGAUGAUGGAUGUUGAUACCACAUGGUCUUGUGCACUCAAUUAUGGAUUUAUCCCCUUGACUCAUGUUUGAUCAGCUCUUUCUAUCUAAGAGGGUAUAAUUUAUAAUAUAUGAGGC
rnacentral:misc_RNA from 1 species